AGAGUUUGAUCCUGGCUCAGGGUGAAUGCUGGCGGCGUGGAUAAGUCAUGCAAGUCAAGGGGGCCCGCGAGGGCAACCGGCAGACGAGGUAGUAACACGUAGGUAGAUCCCCCGAAGUCGGGCAUAGCCAUCCGAAAGGAUGGGUAAUUCCCGAUAGUCCCGCAAGGGUAAAGGUUUUUCGCUUCGGGAGUUGCCUGCGUAGUAUCAGCUAGUUGGUAGGGUAACGGCCUACCAAGGCUACGACGCUUAGGGGAGCUGAGAGGCUGACCCCCACCGAUGGAACUGCGACACGGUCCAUACUCCUACGGGAGGCUGCAGACGAGAAUAUUCCGCAAUGGGCGAAAGCCUGACGGAGCGACGCCGCGUGAUGGAUGAAGUGCCUUGGUACGUAAACAUCUUUUAUCGGGGACGAAGUUUAUUGACGGUACCCGAUGAAU
rnacentral:rRNA from 1 species